rnacentral:rRNA from 1 species
CUAGUGACUAGGGUGAAGUCGAAACAAGGUAGCCGUACUGGAAGGUGCGGCUGGAUCACCUCCUU